rnacentral:rRNA from 1 species
AUUGAACGCUGGCGGCAGGCCUAACACAUGCCAGUCGAGCGGAUGAAGGGAGCUUGCUCCUGGAUUCAGCGGCGGACGGGUGAGUAAUGCCUAGGAAUCUGCCUGGUAGUGGGGGAUAACGUCCGGAAACGGGCGCUAAUACCGCAUACGUCCUGAGGGAGAAAGUGGGGGAUCUUCGGACCUCACGCUAUCAGAGGAGCCUAGGUCGGAUUAGCUAGUUGGUGGGGUAAAGGCCUACCAAGGCGACGAUCCGUAACUGGUCUGAGAGGAUGAUCAGUCAGACUGGAAGUGAGACACGGUCCAGACUCCUACGGGAGGCAGCAGUGGGGAAUAUUGGACAAUGGGCGAAAGCCUGAUCCAGCCAUGCCGCGUGUGUGAAGAAGGUCUUCGGAUUGUAAAGCACUUUAAGUUGGGAGGAAGGGCAGUAAGUUAAUACCUUGCUGUUUUGACGUUACCAACAGAAUAAGCACCGGCUAACUUCGUG